rnacentral:lncRNA from 1 species
CGCAGGCCUCAGCACUUCUGAGCACCAAACGCUGAGUUCAGCUGGGCACAGCCCCAUGGCCGUGUAACCCUUCGCUUGCCGGAUGGAGCGCGUUCCCCUGUGCGGAGCAGCGCCUUCGGGCUGCAGGGCGCUGCACACAGCAGGAGCUGCGCUGCAGGUUCACUUCUAGAGCACGAAGUGAGAAGAAGCAGGGAGGCUUCAUUUUGAGCCUGCCACGGAAUGGUCAACUUCUGCGCGCUCCCCAAAGGAAACGGGAAUGUUGGAAGAGAUUGUUAACCCUUCUGUUGUUUACGAUGUGGCACGGGAUUAGCAGUGGGGCUCCCCCCAGAGCCCGCGCCCCACCGGCGUGCCGGGCGGAUUAUGGCAGGGCAGCAUGCUGACCUCUGCUCUGCUGGGAAACGGAGGCUCCCGAGAUGAUAAGUGGCUCUGGGAAGAAAUUCCUUUCCCCACGUGAGGGAGUGGCGGCGCUGGGCACGUCUGCACCUCUGCACACACGUGGGGACCUGACGUGGAGAGGUGGGAGCUGAGGUUCUGCGAGGAGGACACGGUGUGGGGCCCUGCAGAUCAGGUCAGUGUGGGGCAGGACGGGGCAGGACAGCCAUACCUAGCUGGCUGGGUGCUGGCCGGCUCCAGCUGAGCAAACACAGCUGGGAAGCAGUUCUUGCAGGUGCCUGGAGCAGCUUGGUGCGGGGGCACAGCAGUGUGGAUCCAUACUGGGAUUAUUAGUCCUGAUGGAGUUUGAGGUUCAGGUAUGGGGGUUGUGAUCACACUAGAGAGGAAUAAGUUUGUCUGAGGUCUUUUGUGUGCAGGAACCAGUAGGAGAAUGAAAGGAGAAAUCACACCAGCAGUCACUAGAUCUAGCCAAGUGGAUUUGGUGCCAGGAGGGUGCAGCUGUCAGACAGCCCCAGAGACUGGCAGUGCUGCAUCCCUGGGUGAGGGGGGCUGGGCAGCCCCUCCCUCCCACUCAGUGCCCUGGGAGGGACACACGGCCGGCAGCAGCACUUGCUGGGGCUGCACAGAGAGGGGAGGCCCCGGGGGUCAGCAGUGGGCUGUACCGGAUGGCAUCCCGCAGCACUGCUCUGCAGCCUCUCCUAAGCUGGGAGGCUGUGAUGGGAUCAGCAGCACUGAGGGCUGUGUAUGAGUCCCGGUGCUACUGAGGCACAGCACGAGAGUGCAACGGGAGCGGUUUGGGCUGCUGGCCAAAAGGAAAAUUACAUUCCAGGUCAAACACGAGGUUAACCUUUACCUGUAAAGGGCUGGGUUUGGUCCUUAAGUUGUCUAGAUAAACUUAAAAGCACAAAGAUUUCAAAAGAACAUCGUUGUUUGAGUAUUGUCCUCUGCGCAGAAGGAUUUGUCAGUAAUUUAUGAAUAGAUAUUGCUAAAACAAACAGCACCAUGGGUGAAGCAACAAGACUGUUAGAGAAGAGGUGCCUUGUUUGCAGCCCCAAACCAGCAGCGCCUCACUGCACUGCUGUGCCUGGCAUCACACAGACCUGAGCUGUGCGUGUGGAACCCGGGCGCUCUGGGAGCCUUACUGGGAGCUCAGAUCCUCCUCCAGCCCUCACAGUGUCAGCGCAUCUCUAGGUCGACUGCAGGAGUUUUCUAAAUCUGGAGCUUUUUGGGACGUGGUGCAGCAGGAGCGGGCGGCCUCC